rnacentral:rRNA from 1 species
GCGAACGCUGGCGGCAUGCCUCACACAUGCAAGUCGCACGGGGGGGCUUCGGCCUCCCAGUGGCGGACGGGUGAGGAACGCGUAGGGACCUGUCGAGGGGUGGGGGAUAACCGCGGGAAACUGCGGCUAAUACCGCAUGACGCCGCGGCGUGACAGCCGGGGCCAAAGGCGAAAGCCGCCCGCCGAGGGGCCUGCGUCCGAUUAGCUGGUUGGCGGGGUAGCGGCCCACCAAGGCGUCGAUCGGUAGCUGGUCUGAGAGGGUGAUCAGCCACACCGGGACUGAGACACGGCCCGGACUCCUACGGGAGGCAGCAGUGGGGAAUAUUGGACAAUGGGCGCAAGCCUGAUCCAGCAAUGCCGCGUGGGUGAAGAAGGUCUUCGGAUUGUAAAGCCCUUUCGGCGGGGACGAUGGUGACGGUACCCGCAGAAGAAGCCCCGGCUAACUUCGUG